AUCACUACAAGGUCUUGUUUUUUCAUUAAAUAAAAAUGAUUCGCAAAAUCCACGCCGUUUCCGCUCAUUUAAACAGCACUACUUUUUCUCUGUGUGCCUACGCUGGCGGCGCCCGACCGUUGGCGCCGGCCGGCCGCGCGGGCCGCGCCGGCGCCACAGUUCAAAUCGGGCGUCGACGUCGGCCGGCCGGCCGGCGCGCCACCGGGUUUCGCGUUCGCUGGGCCUGGGACUGCCCGCGGUCGACCGGGACCCAGUCCUGCUGUAAAAGAGGAAGCUGAGCAGAAUCACGCGGCUGGCACGAACUUGCACCGGACAGACGCCGUCUACCGGCUCUACACGGGUCCAGAUGGGCUGCAUGCCUGCAUUAUAGCUACGUUCUGACUUCUGAAAAUUCUGAUCGCCACGGAAGAUUAAGAAAUCUAUCUGUCAGAACAACAGACAGUAUCACCGAUCGGAAUGAUAUUGUAUCACAUCGGUCAUUGUGCCCAUGUGGAAUAGCGUACGUAUGGCCCAGUGAAUAACUACAUUGUAAUUCUGUUCUUGAUUCUGAUAGCAGUCGCCUCAUCGAUGUGGUGUUGACCAUGCAACAGCAAUGUCCAUGUGUAGUUAAUGUCUAAUGUUGGUAGGUACGUACUGAUGAAAAUGUAUAUGCUUGCAGAGUAAAACAAUAAAAAUAAUUCACGGUGCA